rnacentral:rRNA from 1 species
UGGGGAAUAUUGGACAAUGGGCGCAAGCCUGAUCCAGCCAUGCCGCGUGAGUGAUGAAGGCCCUAGGGUGUAAAGCUCUUUUGUGCGGGAAGAUAAUGACUGUACCGCAAGAAUAAGCCCCGGCUAACUUCGUGCCAGCAGCCGCGGUAAUACGAAGGGGGCUAGCGUUGCUCGGAAUCACUGGGCGUAAAGGGUGCGUAGGCGGGUCUUUAAGUCAGGGGUGAAAUCCUGGAGCUCAACUCCAGAACUGCCUUUGAUACUGAGGAUCUUGAGUUCGGGAGAGGUGAGUGGAACGGCGAGUGUAGAGGUGAAAUUCGUAGAUAUUCGCAAGCACACCAGUGGCGAAGGCGGCUCACUGGCCCGAUACUGACGCUGAGGCACGAAAGCGUGGGGAGCAAACA